UUUGGGGUGAUAUUCCCAGCUGCAUUUCUGAGCCUUGGUGCCAGCUGGACCAGGGGGCUUUACUUCCUUCCUCUUGCUGUUUCUCAAAGCUUGCACCAGGGAGAAGAAAUCUUUUUUUUCCCUUCUUACUCUUUCCUCUCCCUUGGCCUGGAGCUAUUGUACAUAUGCAAAUGCAGCAAUGUCAGCUAUUGAGACAAGCUCAGCUAUUUAUAGCCGGAGUCUUGCAACACUUAUCACAGCCUCUGCAGACUUUAGAAAGGCUAAGCACACACACACACACACACACACACACACACACACACACAUGCGCGCAAACGCACACACACUACACAGAGUAUAUUUUUUUCCCCAGGAUAUAAAUUUCCCAUCCCAUUGCAGUCUGGGCCGUCGCAUGCAACAUUGAUUGUCUGUUAUAUUACAUUUAUUAAGAAGUGAUAACUUGUAAUAAUUGGAUGUUAAAUUAAAGAACUCUCUCCUAGUUAUUGCCGUCUCAAUUAUAACUGUCGUUGGCUGGCAGUUAUAAUGAUAUAUGAGGGUUGUAUUUUACGCAGCCGACCAUGACCUGGUGAGUAAUAUUCCCCCAGCUAUGGGGGCACUCAUGCGCUCCUUGGCUUCUAAUGCCUUGCUUGGGUGCUGAUUGGAAUAUUAAGUUUCUGCAAGACUGCGAUGCCGAAAUCCACACGGAGAGCCGCGACUCUGCAGCUGAGAGCCCCCUCUGGUAAUCUCCACCCCCCUCCUGCUUCUCCUCACUGGUACAUGUCCAACUCAUUUCGGCUUUGUUUUAUGGUUAUAGGAAUCAGGUUUAUUUGGUGAGUUAUAAAGUCGUAAAACGUGGGUGAGAGCGUGUUUGUGGUUUCCUUUAAGAUGAAGCUCCUGCAAUUAGCUCGUGGGUCCAAGUCCAGUGGACAGAGACAGUUGCAGGUGGAAAGCAGGAGAGUGGAGGGAUUGGAUUUAUUUAGAAGGACGGAUGGCCGAUCCUUCUAAAUAGAAGGUGGCUGAGUUUCUGCCCGGGUAUCGGGGAGAAGAAGCUGGAAGCUCUGAGGGUCUGGAGUGGAGGCUUAAGCAGAGUACUGAGGGCUUUCAGUGGUGGCUGUUCCUGUAGGUUUCUGGCCCCUGCCCAGGUGAGAGGGCCUGACUUUAAGGGGCCACUGUGGGCCCAGAUCUUGGGGGACAAGGCACUCCCUCUGUGGAUAGACAAUAGGUUCAAUGAAUCACUGAUAUAUAACCUCUUUGUCAUCUGCUUCCUUCCCUUCAUCAAAGCCAGCGGAAGUGACUUCCAGCACAUCAGUGGUGGCUGCAGGACAUUCAGGGAGGGUCUGUUAAGACCUGGACCCUGGGGAGCCCUCUUACAAGCAGUCCUCAGGGCAGAAUCAACAAUGAAGAGUGGCACAAAAAACCUGGGGACACUUGGAGGCUGCUGCCAUAAACAGGCGAGAGGCCCCAGCCCUGCUUUCUCCACUACGGCAUUCUGAAGUUCCAGAACACAGGAGCCAACAAGAAACUGGGAAUAAAGGGGUUUGAUCUGCACAGCACAAACACCUCUUGCAAAAAGAGGAAUAUAAAAAAAUGCCGAUUCCUUCUAUGGGAGAAAAGAAGACGUCGAGACAUGUUAAAUGGUUAGGAAGAAGGUGGCUGCUUGUUUCCCUUCUUCCUUGUGCAGGCUGAAGGCGGGGUGAGGGGAGAGGUUCAUUAUUUUUCGGCGCUCUGAAGGCAGGUGAACAGGGAGAAGCAAGCUGCAGCCUGCCAUUGCGUUCAGUGCCUUUGAAACACAUAGAGCUCUCAAGGCAAGCGAAGGGUUUGAUGCCAUUUAAAAAAGACAGACUCCCACACCUCUCAGAUCCAUAUGUUUCCAUUCAAGAUCUCGUUUCCCUCCGAGGCUGGUGCUACCGCGGGCUUUGCAGUCGGGCCCGGCUGUUCUGCUGACGCUCUGAGGACCCGUGGCUCACAGAGGAGGCAGACGGCCUGAGCAACUGCACAGUGGGUUCGAGGUGCCAACGGCAGGCUCUGGGCCGAGCUGCAGCGGCAAAGUGGUGCCCGGCGCCGUGUGGUGCCUGCGCCUGUGUGUGAUCAGGUGGUUGCUGUCUGGGGGAAGGUAAGAAGGUGAAAAAUAAAAGCAAGCAAAUCAAUAAAAUAGUGUAUGUAUAUGGACCAGAGCUCAGGGCUACAACUGUGUGUCCUUUCUCUCUGUAACGGGACCAGAGUGCUGACAGGUUUUGUUUGCUUUCCCAAAGUGACUUUCUUGUGUUAUAAACAGGUGUGUCUUUGACAAAGAAGGUUUUGUGGUCAACUGAGUUUGGGAAAUACUAGGUUCAUCUAACCUCUCUUCUUCCCUCUGUCCCUCCCUUCCUCCCUCCUUUCCUCUCACCCAUCCACUGUCCAUUUAUCUAUCCAUU